AGCCCGUGACAUGGACGUCGCGCCUUCAGAGACGAAGUCUUCGGUUCGACCGGACGUUACACAGGUGGUGCAUGUCGGUCGUCAGCUCGUGUCGUGAGAUGUUGGGUUAAGUCGCGCAACGAGCGCAACCCUCAUCCUUAGUUGCCAUCAGUUCGGCUGGGCACUCUAGGGAAACUGCCGGUGAUAAGCCGGAGGAAGGUGGGGACGACGUCAAGUCCUCAUGGGCCUUAUGGGCUGGGCCACACACGUGCUACAAUGGCGACUACAGUGGGCAGCGACAUCGCGAGGUGAAGCUAAUCUCCAAAAGUCGUCUCAGUUCGGAUUGCACUCUGCAACUCGGGGGCAUGAAGUUGGAAUCGCUAGUAAUCGCGGAUCAGCAUGCCGCGGUGAAUACGUUCCGCGGGCCU
rnacentral:rRNA from 1 species